GAUGAAGAACGUAGCGAAAUGCGAUACUUGGUGUGAAUUGCAGAAUCCCGUGAACCAUCGAGUCUUUGAACGCAAGUUGCGCCCGAAGCCACUAGGCCGAGGGCACGCCUGCCUGGGCGUCACACGUCGUUGCCCCCCCCCCAUCUACUCCUUCGGGAUUGCGGGGGGCGGAUGAUGGCCUCCCGUGCGCCUAGCCGCGCGGUUGGCAUAAAUACCAAGUCCUCGGCGACGCACGCCACGACAAUCGGUGGUUGCGAAACCUCGGUUGCCCGUCGUGUGCGUUCGUCGCGCAUCGAGGGCUCGAAAAAAUGCUCGGCUCCGGCUCGGCUUUCAACGCGACCCCAGGUCAGGCGGGGUUACCCGCUGAAUUUAAGCAUAUCAAAGCGGAGGA
rnacentral:misc_RNA from 1 species